rnacentral:rRNA from 1 species
GAGAGAUUCAAUAUCGCUCGCAAGGGCAAUGUGCACUUCUCUCUUAGUAAGACGCUGUGAUCCAUUAGAAAUUGACCGUUCCCUCGGUUAUUUGGCUAUCAAUAGGCCAGCAUGAAGUUCCUCAAUGCAAACAACUCAAUCUUCAAUGGUCGGGUAUAUUGUCUGGGGAGCAUGUUGUGUCCUGUCUAAUAGCUGUCUGAUGGAUUUUAAAGGCCAUAUUAUCGAUGCUCCGGCACCGCUCGUACGCGAGAAUUUGAUAUGUGCCCGAUCAACAGCGGUUCACUUUGGGA